rnacentral:rRNA from 1 species
GAAGAACCUUACCUGGUCUUGACAUCCACAGAACUUUCCAGAGAUGGAUUGGUGCCUUCGGGAACUGUGAGACAGGUGCUGCAUGGCUGUCGUCAGCUCGUGUUGUGAAAUGUUGGGUUAAGUCCCGCAACGAGCGCAACCCUUAUCCUUUGUUGCCAGCGAUUAGGUCGGGAACUCAAAGGAGACUGCCAGUGAUAAACUGGAGGAAGGUGGGGAUGACGUCAAGUCAUCAUGGCCCUUACGACCAGGGCUACACACGUGCUACAAUGGCGCAUACAAAGAGAAGCGACCUCGCGAGAGCAAGCGGACCUCAUAAAGUGCGUCGUAGUCCGGAUUGGAGUCUGCAACUCGACUCCAUGAAGUCGGAAUCGCUAGUAAUCGUGGAUCAGAAUGCCACGGUGAAUACGUUCCCGGGCCUUGUACACACCGCCCGUCACACCAUGGGAGUGGGUUGCAAAAGAAGUAGGUAGCUUAACCUUCGGGAGGGCGCUUACCACUUUGUGAUUCAUGACUGGGGUGAAGUCGUAACAAGGUAACCGUAGGGGAACCUGCGGUUGGA